AAGGGAAGUCCAUAUUGUUAUGAAGGUCACAGGGUCAUCAGGUUGAUAUUCUGGUCAACAUCCAUACAGCAACAGUGUGAGUCCAUAUUGUUAUGAAGGUCACAGGGUCAUCAGGUUGAUAUUCUGGUCAACAUCCAUACAGCAACAGUGUGAGUCCAUAUUGUUGUGAAGGUCACAGGGUCAUCAGGUUGAUAUUCAGGUCAACACCCAUACAGCAACAAGGGAAGUCCAUAUUGUUAUGAAGGUCACAGGGUCAUCAACAGGUUAAUUUACAGUUCUAUGCUCAUAGACAACAUUGUAUCAAGUGUUUUUGCUUCUUGUUUUAGUGCAUUAUACCCAUCAUUACCAGAGUAAUACUGAAGUAUUCCAUUAUAUAUUAGUUAGAGUCAAGAUGCAGUAUGGUAGUUAGGCUCAGAUGUCAGGUUUCCAUCUCGUUACAGAUCACUGGACAGCCUUAUGGAGUAUUUCACGUAUUGACACACGUCGAACCACGAAGGGAGCAAGUUUGAAAUGAGCACAAGUCACAACAAGGGCCUGGAACUAGCAUUUUACACAGGGAUCCCACAAAAGUCUUGAUUUUUUGGUGAAAAUGCGACGGUUUUCGAGCAAUAUUUUUUGCCCAAAACGUGAAACAUGACCAGAAAAGGUCAUAUUUGCACACUACGGAGGAUAAAAACCCGAAAAAACGCUUAUUUUAGGCAGAAAACACCAUUAUGUUAAUUAGUCACGUGACCGGUCACGUGACCCUUAAUGUUGUGUUUUUUUAAGGCGCGAUUUUUAAAUUUUCAUAACGAAAAAAAAAUCGUGGGUUUGAAAUAAUCCUUUCAUUUGAAUUCAUUAGAUCACGCAGUUGAUAAUAAAAGAACAUCGAACCUUUA